CCCUUAGAUGUUCUGGGCCGCACGCGCGCUACACUGAACAGUUCAACAAGUCUUAACCUUGGCCGAUAGGUCUGGGUAAUCUUUGAACGCUGUUCGUGAUUGGGAUAGACCUUUGCAAUUAUGGGUCUUCAACGAGGAAUUCCUAGUAAACGCAAGUCAUCAACUUGCAUUGAUUACGUCCCUGCCCUUUGUACACACCGCCCGUCGCACCUACCGAUUGAAUGGUCCGGUGAAGCCUCCGGAUUGGCGUGCACCCUCGGGUGCUGCCGAGAAGUUGGCUAAACCUUACCAUUUAGAGGAAGGUGAAGUCGUAACA
rnacentral:rRNA from 1 species